GCUAUUGCUAUUUUAUUAUUUGCUAGCGCAGGGGUUCCUAAUUAAUUUUUCCUGUGGAACCCUUUGACAUAAUGCGCGAACAACGUGGAACCCCCAAAAAAUGUUUGGCGCAGGUAGUAAACAGAUAGUAGUGCUUAGGAGCAGGUGUGUUUUUGUGUGUACAGUUGGUGUUUGUAUAUAAUGUUAGCGUUUUGAUACAGGGGUGUGUUUGUAUGUAAUGUUUGCAUUUGAUUGCAAGGGUGUGCUUUGAUGCAGUGUGUUGGCUUUUAAAUGCAUAUGUACAUUUGUGUGUAGUAUUAGUGUUUUGAGUGUUUGUAUUUGAAAUUUUAAUCCAAGGGUUUUUGUAUGUAAUGUUUGUGUUUGCAUGUUGUGUUGGUGUUUGCUGGGAUAUAUGUACAUAUCCGUGUUUGAUUGCUGGGGAUGUAUACACAUAUGAUUGCUGUACAUACAUACACAAACAAAUUAACACACAGACACACAUAUAAAACAUUGACAUAUACACACUGACAUACACAUAUUGACACAUGCACAGACCUUGACACAGAUACACACUGGCACAUACACACACACACAGACACUCUCCGAUACAGUGACCGAUACAAAGGAAGGAGUGGCAGUUCACUUGCUUGUUAUUUUGCAAAGCAUGGCAGUAUGUGAAUGUGGUCAUUUAUUUGUGGUGUGUGAAUGUGGUAGUUUGUGUAGAAUUGCAGUGUGUGAAUAUGGUUUGUGUAGCAUGGCAAUGUGUGAAUGUGGUAGUAUAUUAACAUAGCAUGGCAGUGUGUGAAUGUGGUAGUUUGCAUAGAAUUGCAGUGUGUGAAUAUGGUUUGUGUAGCACGGCAAUGUGUGAAUGUGGUAGUAUAUUAACAUUGCAUGGUAGUGUGUGAAUGUGGCAGUUUAUUUGCAUAGCAUGGCAGUGUGUGAAUGUGGUAAUUUAUUUGUUUAGCAUGGCAGUGUGUGAAUGUGGUAAUUUAUUUGUUUAGCAUGGCAGUGUGUGAAUGUGGUAGUUUGCAUAGCAUGGCAGUGUGGGAAUGUGGUAGUUUAUUUGUCUAACAUUGUGGUGUGUGAAUGUGGUAAUUUUAUUGCGUGACAAGGCAGUGUGUGAAUUUGGCUAUUUAUUUGCAUAGCAUGGCAGUGUGUUAAUGUGGCAGUUUGCGUAACAUGGCAAUGUGUGAAUGUGAAUUGUGGUGUGUGAAUGUGGUAGUUUGCGUAACAUGGCAGCGUGUGAAUGAGGUAGUUUGCGUAACAUGGCAGCGUGUGAAUGUUGCAGUAUAUUUGCGUAACAUGGCGAUGUGUGAAUGCGGUAAGUUAUUUGUGUAACAUUGUGGUGUGUGAAUGUGGUAAUUUACUUGCGUUACAUUGUGGUGUGAAUGUGGUAGUUUAUUAACGUAACAUGGCAGUGUGUUAAUGUGAUGGUUUGCGUAGCUUGGCAGUGUGUGAAUGUGAUGGUUUGCGUAACAUGGCAAUGUGUCAAUGUGGUAGUUUGCGUAACAUGGCAGUGUAGCGGAGAGGUAGUAUAAUCCACAAUAUCUCCACUGGUAGACAGGAGCAGCAUGUAAUAAUCCAGGUAAAACAAGUACAGCAUACAAUAAUCCCGGUAGCGUUAUACAGAUUCUUCCUUCCCAAGAA
rnacentral:lncRNA from 1 species